UAGUCUGAGCUGUGGAAACCAAGAACUGGCUGUUGAAACUAAUGCACAGUGUUUAUGCAGUAUUUGCAGUGCUUUUCUUUUACACCUAUAUACUACUGUCUCAGCUUUAUCAAUUUUUGCAUAAAAAAGGUCUCAGAAAGCUUUAGGCCUUACAUUGUUUCUUGGAUACAAUGGAUUUGAUAAGGUGUACCUGAACCAUUGACCACUUAAACAGUGCGAGCCAGUUGAACUAAGUAUUAGUCUAUAGCAAAGAGCCAAACUAGCUGAACAGCAAUGCUGCGGUGAUAAAAUACCCAAACUUACAAUCAGAACAAACAGAUGAACAGACUGCUUAACGGAAUUUCUGUUGGUACUGGGUGUGAGUGUAUAAUUAAUACAUAUGUUUAUUAAUAUAUAUGGGAGUGGAGCAAGAGUGUAAAUAUUAAAGUAAGCUUCAACCUCAGAAUAUAACCAUUCAUUAAUACUUCACCUGCAUUACAAAUGUUGGGAUUUGUAUCAUAUCCAACAAUAAUCGUUGUACUUUCACUUUGUAGAACAGUGGCAAGGUGGUGUCCCAUCAAACGCUUUUAUCCAAAGCGAUUAAUAAAGUAUGAAAUUUAUACUCUACGCUUUACUGUAGCGGAUCACUUUAUGACUGCACAGACCCCACUGGAAGCCCUUUCUGCACACAACAACCUGCUGCCCCAGCAAAUCCACCUGUAUCAACAAAAGCUCUGUGCACCGGCCUCAACAAUAAGAUUUAUCAAAAGAGGAAAUGGGGGGGGGGGAAUGGUGCCGAGUUUGUCCAGGACACCCUUCUCUGUAGCCUCGGUUCGUUUUAUAAGCUUAUGCUGCUAUUUCCAUACCUCCCCCUCUUAAUCAUUUAUUGAACCAGAACGUAUGAGUAUUCUUCACAUCCAGAUGCAGGAUAGUGGUGUUGUCUUCAGGCCUUCACUACAUAAACUCAGAGCAAACUCCACCGCCGGCAUGUCAUCAGAAAUGUAUAAAGAUCAGAACUGAGAGGCCUGCAGCAGCACUGAUGCACCAAGGGACAACUUGCAGACGAGUUCUGAUGCCGCCGCUGCUUCUGAUGGCUGCUUCCUGUGGAACAGUAACUGAAAUGAGCAAGUGUCUUCAGUGCUGAGCUGCUGAUCGCUUGGGCUGGCCUUCCUGAAGCUUCCAGCAUGAAUAUUGCAGCAAGGUGGUGUAAUUGCACAGAAUCGCCAGCAGAGGUCACCAGCACACGCAGAAAACCAUCUGCUUCCGAUAUAAUGGUCUCUCUGUGGUGUACCUCCUCUUCCUCCUCUUCCUCCCCUUGCUACCAGACCCGACAGUGAUAU